GACGAACGCUGGCGGCGUGCUUAACACAUGCAAGUCGAACGGAAAGGCCCUGCUUUUGUGGGGUGCUCGAGUGGCGAACGGGUGAGUAACACGUGAGUACCUGCCCUUUGAUUUGGGGUAACUUCAGGAAACUGGGGCUAAUACCGGAUAGGGGCUCCUGCUGGAUGGGGGGGGGUGGGAAGUUUCGGCGGUUGGGGAUGGACUCGCGGCUUAUCAGCUUGUUGGUGGGGUAGUGGCUUACCAAGGCUUUGACGGGUAGCCGGCCUGAGAGGGUGACCGGCCACAUUGGGACUGAGAUACGGCCCAGACUCCUACGGGAGGCAGCAGUGGGGAAUAUUGCACAAUGGGCGGAAGCCUGAUGCAGCAACGCCGCGUGCGGGAUGACGGCCUUCGGGUUGUAAACCGCUUUCGCCUGUGACGAAGCGUGAGUGACGGUAAUGGGUAAAGAAGCACCGGCUAACUACGUG
rnacentral:rRNA from 1 species